rnacentral:tRNA from 1 species
AUAGUCAGUCAGUUGAGCGUGGCGCUGACAACGCUAAGGUCGCGGGUUCGAUUCCCGCU